rnacentral:lncRNA from 1 species
AUUUCUCACCUGUCUCUCUCCCGUUUCUCCCAAAAUUUUGCCCUAGAAAGCACGAUUCUCUACUCCAAUUGUGAAGAAGUUGGGCGCUGCAAACUUCUGGCCACCGUGCAGUUCGAAUCACAACCAUCAUCUUCUUGCAAACACGAGGUUCAGACGCGUUGCUUCAGAGUAAGCAAUGUUGUUGUGGUUGCAAAAAAAUUUGAACUUUUUUUUGAAGGGUGGCUGCAUUGAAAUACUGGAAUCUUAUUUGAGCUCUGUAUUUUUGGGCGAUCGUUUUCUCUGAUGGCUAUCAUUUUGAAUUGGUGGGAAUGUUAGAAAUUCGAGCUUUUCGUUGCUUGCUUACUUAAUCUGUGGCAUAGUAGGAAGGAUUUUAACAUUGUUUUCUGUAUGGUUCAGUUAUAUGCUACAAUGGUGGGGAAGGAUUCCAGAAUUUUGACAUAGCUAUAGAGGCAAAGGGCACUUCUUCGCCGAAUGUCCAAUUAAACGAAAAUGUCUGUUGUGUCAGAAUGGAUUUCAAAAGUGUUUCGAGGUCAGAAAAUCGACUCCUAAUAGAGGGAGAUUAUUCAAAUGUUGCAGUAAUAAAUGUGGCUACUGGGCCUGGGUCGUAGAAGGACAGACUAGCAGCGAAUCCACUAAUGCUAGCCCUACCUUGGUGACAGCUGAAGAUUUGUCCCAUAGGUUCGAAUCUUAGGUUCGGCUAACUGAAGAAGUGGACUUUGAAAUAUCUAUGAAUGUGACGAUUCGCAGGGGAACGGGCAGUGCAGAAGGGAUUGAAAAAGGAAGGGGCCGGCUUGAUUUGUAGUCAAUUUGUUGAACGUUUUAUGUACUAACUUAUGUAAGGAUUGUUUUCUGGGUUCGGUUCAUCAAAAUAUGUAGUUGGUAGUAGGUUAUGGAUGAAACCGAUGUAACCUAUGUAACUUCUAUGGAUGAAACCAACGUAACUGAAAAUCAUUUUAUUUAUGCUAAUGUCUACAUAUUAUCAGCCUCUUCCUAUCUCUCUUCACCAUCUUUAGAGCUGCUGACAAUUACAGAUUACAGAUUGUGGAUUCCAAAUGUUGAUAUUUGUCCAAUUGUAUUCCAGUAAAUUGAGAAAUGGGUGAAUCGGUCCUAUUCUAUACAUUUCAG